rnacentral:rRNA from 1 species
CAGUCGCCGCGGUAAUACGUAGGUGGCAAGCGUUGUCCGGAAUUAUUGGGCGUAAAGGGCUCGCAGGCGGUUUCUUAAGUCUGAUGUGAAAGCCCCCGGCUCAACCGGGGAGGGUCAUUGGAAACUGGGAAACUUGAGUGCAGAAGAGGAGAGUGGAAUUCCACGUGUAGCGGUGAAAUGCGUAGAGAUGUGGAGGAACACCAGUGGCGAAGGCGACUCUCUGGUCUGUAACUGACGCUGAGGAGCGAAAGCGUGGUGAGCGAACAGGAUUAGAUACCCCUGUAGUCCCUGUCUCUUAUAC